rnacentral:rRNA from 1 species
CAGUCGCGCGGUAAUACGGAGGGGGCUAGCGUUGUUCGGAAUUACUGGGCGUAAAGCGCACGUAGGCGGCUUUGUAAGUUAGAGGUGAAAGCCUGGGGCUCAACUCCAGAAUUGCCUUUAAGACUGCAUCGCUUGAACGUCGGAGAGGUGAGUGGAAUUCCGAGUGUAGAGGUGAAAUUCGUAGAUAUUCGGAAGAACACCAGUGGCGAAGGCGGCCAUCUGGGACAACACUGACGCUGAGGCACGAAAGCGUGGGGAGCAAACAGGAUUAGAUACCCGGGUAGUCCCUGUCUCUUAUACA